UACGGAGGGUGCAAGCGUUAUCCGGAUUCACUGGGUUUAAAGGGUGCGUAGGCGGACAGGUAAGUCAGUGGUGAAAUCUCUGGGCUUAACCCAGAAACUGCCGUUGAUACUAUUUGUCUUGAAUAUCCUGGAGGUAGGCGGAAUAUGUCAUGUAGCGGUGAAAUGCUUAGAUAUGACAUAGAACACCUAUUGCGAAGGCAGCUUACUACGCAUAUAUUGACGCUGAGGCACGAAAGCGUGGGGAUCAAACAGG
rnacentral:rRNA from 1 species